UGGGGAUGACGUCAAGUCCUCAUGGCCCUUAUGGGUAGGGCUUCACACGUCAUACAAUGGUCGGUACAGAGGGUUGCAACCCGCAGGGGGAGGCUAAUCCCACAAAGCCGAUCGUAGUCCGGAUCGCAGUCUGCAACUCGACUGCGUGAAGUCGGAAUCGCUAGUAAUCGUGGAUCAGCAUGUCACGGUGAAUACGUUCCCGGGUCUU
rnacentral:rRNA from 1 species